rnacentral:rRNA from 1 species
GUGGGGAAUAUUGGACAAUGGGGGGAACCCUGAUCCAGCCAUGCCGCGUGUGUGAAGAAGGCCUUUUGGUUGUAAAGCACUUUAAGCGAGGAGGAGGCUACCGAGAUUAAUACUCUUGGAUAGUGGACGUUACUCGCAGAAUAAGCACCGGCUAACUCUGUGCCAGCAGCCGCGGUAAUACAGAGGGUGCAAGCGUUAAUCGGAUUUACUGGGCGUAAAGCGCGCGUGGGUGGCCAAUUAAGUCAAAUGUGAAAUCCCCGAGCUUAACUUGGGAAUUGCAUUCGAUACUGGUUGGCUAGAGUAUGGGAGAGGAUGGUAGAAUUCCAGGUGUAGCGGUGAAAUGCGUAGAGAUCUGGAGGAAUACCGAUGGCGAAGGCAGCCAUCUGGCCUAAUACUGACACUGAGGUGCGAAAGCAUGGGGAGCAAACAGGAUUAGAAACCCUUGUAGUCC